CCUCCCCACCCCCACCCCCACCCCGACUCUUCUUCCUCAUUCGGGCAGUUGCUCUCGUAGGAAGUGAGGCCAAAAAGAAGAAGAAAAAGAAGCUAACUCAACAAAACCGUCUGUUAGGGAGGAGCGGCCGGUGGGCACCCCUGUAACGGAAACUGUUAGAACAACUUUGCACCCUCCUUAAAGGAAAUAGAUAAUAAAUCCUUCUCCGUUGGUGGAUUUCUUGUUUCUCAGGAUUCCAAAGCCUUCUGUGGUUUCAGUUAUCGGCCCUCCAGAACGGAGCGAGGGUCUGGGUUAGCCUCUGGCCACAGCCCCGGCUGAGGGAGGGGUUUUAUCUUCUGCCACAGCUAUUAACGUGGGUGGGAACAAAGGGAUGGUUGCUAUCUCUCCAGGCAGAGAAAACUAGCCUCCAUCAGUUCUGUGGGGGCCCGGGACUGUAGCUUUUGGUUCUCCCUCAUUUCGGGCUCUGAGACCUAAGCUGCCCUAGGGUACUGCUGUGUGUAAGGUGGAUCCGGUAGAAAUCACAUUUUAGUCCUGUGUUGGAGAAGGGAAACAAAUGGAGGGGACUCUCCCCCCCCGUUUUUUUUCAGGGACACUUGUCCUCAGCUUCAGACGCCCCUGAGUGAAUCGGCCAAGCUGUGGUGCACACUCGUGACUGGGGCCUGAGGUUGUGGCUUGAAUCUCUAGAAGUCCAUGAGGCUCCCAGCAGCACUCAGUUUGCAGAGACAAAACUGAGCAGUGUACCGUACUUGCUUUGUGAAUUCACAAGGGAGAAAGACCAGCAUUCCUAAGGUUCCCUCUAUCCACACCAAAUUCUCUCAAAAAUCUAUUUGUAGAAAGGACGGGGGUCUCUUUGUGACAAGUCAGAAUGUUUUCUAACAGCUCAACUGUCACCCGUUAGGGGUAGAACUUUGUCCAGACCUUCAGCUCUACUUUCCAGCAAUUUCUCCUUCCUUCCUUUCUCUGCUGCCCACCCCCCUCCUCUUCCGCUCUGUUUCCUGUUUCAUUUUCUGGCUUCUGCUCUGACAGGAAAACAAGAAAGCUGAACCUUGUGCUCUCAAAGCCCUGGCUUGUCAGAAUGGAAGAAGACUGGGUGGGAUGGGAGGGGGUUCUGGGCCUCCAAGGCCGUGGGUAAGUAGUUGAGGAGGCAGCUCUCUCCAGUCUGCGUUUAGAGUCUGCAGCUAAAAUGGAGUCUGCAUCUACACAGGGAGCCAGCUGAGCAACCAGCCCUGUGGGAGAGCCAGGGAGACAGAGACGGAUCCAAGGGCUCCACAAAGACUCUAUGCCACCCAUCCACUUCCAUUAAGAAGCAAAUGUCCCAUACCACCAACAAAUGAUUUCAUAAUACAAACCCCUGACCUAAACAAUCCAAGCAAUGCGUCACUAUUUCUAGAAUCCUAGAAGGUGUAAUCAUCUCAGACGCUUUCUUGCACUGUAGAAGGUAAAGCAGGAUGUGAUGCAACAGUGACAGCGUCCAGGAUGCCACCACUCAGUGGGGAGAGAGAGCGCACCACAGGAGAUUUCCAAAAAAAAAAAAAAAAACAAAAAAAAACAAAAA